GGUUCCGUAGUGCAGCAGCUGGCACGUCUGCUUUACACACAGAAGAUUCUGGGUCUGAUCCCCGGUGGGACCA
rnacentral:tRNA from 1 species